rnacentral:rRNA from 1 species
CGCCUGUUUAUUAAAAACAUCGCUUUUUGAUUUUUUAGUAUAAAAAGUCGGGCCUGCCCGGUGAGCUAUAUUAAACGGCUGCGACGAGAGUCGUACAAAGGUAGCGCGAUAAUUUGUCUCUUAAUUGGAGAAUGGUAUGAAAGGUUUGUCGCAGACUGGUUGUCUCUGAAGAAAUAGAUGAAGUUUCCUUUUAAAUGAAAAGGUUUAAAUUUUUGUAAAAGACGAGAAGACCCUGCCGAGCUGAAUUAAGUUGGAAAUUCUUAGGUACGAAGUACUGAGUUUCUAACUAAAAUGUAGUUGGGGAGAGCUAAGCUUAAAAGAAUAGGUUUAAUUAUUAGACACAGAUCCUCUCAGAGAGAAAGUUGGUAAAAGCUACCGCAGGGAUAACAGCGUAAUUUUUCUUGAGAGAUCGUAUUGAGGGAAAAGUUUGCGACCUCGAUGUUGGAUUAGGAAAACUUCUUGGUGCAGCAGCUAAGAGUGGUAAGACUGUUCGUCUUUUAAAUUCUUACAUGAUCUGAGUUCAGACCGG